rnacentral:rRNA from 1 species
CUCGCCCGGGGACUACGAGCAUGAGCUUAAAACCCAAAGGACUUGGCGGUGCUUUAAACCCACCUAGAGGAGCCUGUUCUAUAACCGAUAACCCCCGUUAAACCUCACCUUCUCUUGUUAUUUCCGCCUAUAUACCGCCGUCGUCAGCUUACCCUGUGAAGGUUAUUUAGUAAGCAAAACUGAUUUUAUCCAAAACGCCAGGUCAAGGUGUAGCAAAUGAGAAGGGAAGAAAUGGGCUACAUUUUUUAAUCCAGAAAAUACGGAAACUGCCAUGAAACAGCAUAUUUGAAGGAGGAUUUAGCAGUAAGUAGAGAACAGCGUGUUCC